AACCCCACUCUUAUAAAUUGAAUCAUUUUAUAUUAUGUAUGUAAUAAAUAAAGAUCACUUUCAACAACGGAUCUCUUGGCUCUCGCAUCGAUGAAGAACGUAGCGAAGUGCGAUAAGUAAUGUGAAUUGCAGAAUUCCGUGAAUCAUCGAA
rnacentral:rRNA from 1 species